UGCCAAUCCUUGGGGCUGCCAUGGGAACC
rnacentral:piRNA from 1 species